GACGAACGCUGGCGGCGUGCCUAAUACAUGCAAGUUGAGCGAUGAAGAUUGGUGCUUGCACCAAUUUGAAGAGCAGCGAACGGGUGAGUAACGCGUGGGGAAUCUGCCUUUGAGCGGGGGACAACAUUUGGAAACGAAUGCUAAUACCGCAUAACAACUUUAAACAUAAGUUUUAAGUUUGAAAGAUGCAAUUGCAUCACUCAAAGAUGAUCCCGCGUUGUAUUAGCUAGUUGGUGAGGUAAAGGCUCACCAAGGCGAUGAUACAUAGCCGACCUGAGAGGGUGAUCGGCGACAUUGGGACUGAGACACGGCCCAAACUCCGACGGGAGGCAGCAGUAGGGAAUCUUCGGCAAUGGACGAAAGUCUGACCGAGCAACGCCGCGUGAGUGAAGAAGGGUUUCGGAUCGUAAAACUCUGUUGGUAGAGAAGAACGUUGGUGAGAGUGGAAAGCUCAUCAAGUGACGGUAACUACCCAGAAAGGGACGGCUAACUACGUG
rnacentral:rRNA from 1 species